UACGUAGGGUGCGAGCGUUUAAUCGGAAUUACUGGGCGUAAAGCGUGCGUAGGCGGUUCGUUAAGUUCGUUGUGAAAGCCCCCGGGCUCAACCUGGGAACUGCAAUGGAAACUGGGCGGGCUUGAGUGUGGCAGAGGGGGGGUGGAAUUCCGCGUGUAGCAGUGAAAUGCGUAGAGAUGCGGAGGAACACCGAUGGCGAAGGCAGCCCCCUGGGCCAACACUGACGCUCAGGCACGAAAGCGUGGGGAGCAAACAGG
rnacentral:rRNA from 1 species